rnacentral:rRNA from 1 species
GAGGAAUAUUGGUCAAUGGGCGAGAGCCUGAACCAGCCAAGUCGCGUGAAGGAAGACUGCCUUAUGGGUUGUAAACUUCUUUUAUACAGGAAUAAAAAGGCUUACGUGUAGGCCAUUGCAAGUACUGUAUGAAUAAGCAUCGGCUAACUCCGUGCCAGCAGCCGCGGUAAUACGGAGGAUGCGAGCGUUAUCCGGAUUUAUUGGGUUUAAAGGGUGCGCAGGCGGGCUUUUAAGUCAGCGGUGAAAUCUGGACGCUUAACGUCCAAACUGCCGUUGAAACUGGGAGUCUUGAGUAUGGAUGAAGUAGGCGGAAUUCGUUGUGUAGCGGUGACAUGCAUAGAUAUAACGAGGAACUCCGAUUGCGUAGGCAGCUUACUGGAGUGUAACUGACGCUGAUGCUCGAAAGUGUGGGUAUCAAACA